UGUUGCAGGUGCGCAAGUUCAGCAAACACUGCAGAAGUUGUGAUAAAUGUGUGGAUGGAUUUGAUCACCAUUGUCGAUGGCUCAACAACUGUGUAGGGAGAAAAAACUACCUAACUUUCAUUUCUCUUACGGCCACUAGUCUCGUUUAGAUGUUUUUGGACAUACAAAAGUGGAUAUGUUUUUGUUGACAAGUACGUGAGGACAUUGUGGUACAAAAGUGGAUAUGUUUUUAUAUAGUGGUUUGUACAAAAUAUUUUUUUGGUAGAGUAAAUAUCAGCUAAUUUGGUAGAAAUUAACAUAGCACGUGGUACAAAAUAGUUUUG